UAGCAGUACCUCUACGCUUCUAUGGUGUCCAGUUCAGCAACCUCUAUGUGGGCACCAAUGGCAUCAUCUCCACCCAGGACUUACCCAGGGAGACUUAAUAUGUCGUUGAUGAUUUUCCUACUGACUUCCUAGCCAUCGCCCCAUUCCUGGCUGACAUCCACUCGAGUCAGAGCAGUGGCCGGAUCCUGUAUGGAGGACACCUCCUGGGCUGUGCUGUGUCUGGCUGCUUGCUACCUGUGCACAGGCUUCCUGCUGACCAGGUCCAGCUUCCCCCCUACCCACUUCUUCCUGGCCACCUGGGAACAAGUGGGCCCCUAGGAGGAGGACAGUCUUGGGGCUGCGUGGUCUAGAGAGCUUAACACUCUCCAGGCUGUUCUGGCAUCCGAUGAAUGUGAUUCCUAUGUCCUCUUUCUCUAUCCUGCCAAUGGUCUUCAGUUUUUGGAACUCGCCCCAAAGAAUCCUACAGUGUCCAGCUGCAGCUUCCUGCUAAG
rnacentral:lncRNA from 1 species